rnacentral:rRNA from 1 species
GAUGAACGCUGGCGGCGUGCCUAAUACAUGCAAGUCGAGCGAAUGGAUUAAGAGCUUGCUCUUAUGAAGUUAGCGGCGGACGGGUGAGUAACACGUGGGUAACCUGCCCAUAAGACUGGGAUAACUCCGGGAAACCGGGGAUAAUACCGGAUAACAUUUUGAACCGCAUGGUUCGACAUUGAAAGGCGGCUUCGGCUGUCACUUAUGGAUGGACCCGCGUCGCAUUAGCUAGUUGGUGAGGUAACGGCUCACCAAGGCAACGAUGCGUAGCCGACCUGAGAGGGUGAUCGGCCACACUGGGACUGAGACACGGCCCAGACUCCUACGGGAGGCAGCAGUAGGGAAUCUUCCGCAAUGGACGAAAGUCUGACGGAGCAACGCCGCGUGAGUGAUGAAGGCUUUCGGGUCGUAAAACUCUGUUGUUAGGGAAGAACAAGUGCUAGUUGAAUAAGCUGGCACCUUGACGGUACCUAACCAGAAAGCCACGGCUAACUACGUGGCAGCCGCCGCAGUAA